GACGAAGGGGGCUAGCGUUGUUCGGAAUUACUGGGCGUAAAGCGCGUGUAGGCGGUUGUCCAAGUCGGGUGUGAAAGCCUUGAGCUCAACUCAAGAAAUGCACUCGAUACUGGGCGACUCGAGUGCCGGAGAGGAUAGUGGAAUUCCCAGUGUAGUGGUGAAAUACGUAGAGAUUGGGAAGAACACCAGAGGCGAAGGCGGCGACCUGGACAGGUACUGACACUCAACUACGAAAGCGUGGGGAGCAAACAGG
rnacentral:rRNA from 1 species